AAAUGUAUAAAUUUAAUGCCGUAAAUUGAAUUAAAAGAAAUAUGGUGCAUAUAUCAAUGUUACAGCAACGAAAAGAGGGAAACGCCAAAAGAUAUCUUUUUGGCCAAAUAUUCUUUUUUAAACAAACAGGUGUCCAUACAAUCUGUCAAACUCUGAAUCGUCCCAUGUUAACAAAAUUUAUCUCUACACUUAAAGAAGAAAAUAAAGAUUGCAGGCAAUUC
rnacentral:lncRNA from 1 species